UACGUAGGGGGCAAGCGUUGUCCGGAAUCAUUGGGCGUAAAGCGCGUGUAGGCGGUUCAGUAAGUCUGCUGUGAAAGUCCAGGGCUCAACCCUGGGAUGCCGGUGGAUACUGCUGGACUAGAGUGCGGAAGAGGCGAGUGGAAUUCCCGGUGUAGCGGUGAAAUGCGCAGAUAUCGGGAGGAACACCAAGUGCGAAGGCAGCUCGCUGGGACGUUACUGACGCUGAGACGCGAAAGCGUGGGGAGCAAACAGG
rnacentral:rRNA from 1 species